CUCCUACGGGAGGCUGCAGUGGGGAAUAUUGGACAAUGGGCGCAAGCCUGAUCCAGCCAUGCCGCGUGGGUGAAGAAGGCCUUCGGGUUGUAAAGCCCUUUUGUUGGGAAAGAAAAGCAGCCGGUUAAUACCCGGUUGUUCUGACGGUACCCAAAGAAUGAGCACCGGCUAACUUCGUGCCAGCAGCCGCGGUAAUACGAAGGGUGCAAGCGUUACUCGGAAUUACUGGGCGUAAAGCGUGCGUAGGUGGUUCGUUAAGUCUGAUGUGAAAGCCCUGGGCUCAACCUGGGAAUUGCAUUGGAUACUGGCGGGCUAGAGUACGGUAGAGGGUAGUGGAAUUCCUGGUGUAGCAGUGAAAUGCGUAGAGAUCAGGAGGAACAUCCGUGGCGAAGGCGACUACCUGGACCAGUACUGACACUGAGGCACGAAAGCGUGGGGAGCAAACAGGAUUAGAUACCCUGGUAGUCCACGCCCUAAACGAUGCGAACUGGAUGUUGGGUUCAACUAGGAACUCAGUAUCGAAGCUAACGCGUUAAGUCGCCGCC
rnacentral:rRNA from 1 species